rnacentral:rRNA from 1 species
UACGUAGGGUGCAAGCGUUGUCCGGAAUUAUUGGGCGUAAAGAGCUCGUAGGCGGUCUGUCGCGUCUGCUGUGAAAACUCAGGGCUUAACCCUGAGCUUGCAGUGGGUACGGGCAGACUAGAGUGCAGUAGGGGAGACUGGAAUUCCUGGUGUAGCGGUGAAAUGCGCAGAUAUCAGGAGGAACACCGAUGGCGAAGGCAGUGUUCUGGGCCAGUACUGACGCUGAGGAGCGAAAGCGUGGGGAGCGAACAGG